GACGAACGCUGGCGGCGUGCUUAACACAUGCAAGUCGAACGAAGUGGCGAACGGGUGAGUAAUACGUGGGUAACCUGCCCUCCUUUUUGGGAUAAGCCUUGGAAACGGGGUCUAAUACCGAAUAAAGGGGGAUGGGCUCGCGGCCUAUCAGCUUGUUGGUGGGGUGAUGGCCUACCAAGGCGGUGACGGGUAGCCGGCCUGAGAGGGCGACCGGCCAGAUUAGGACUGGGGUACUGCCCAGAGUCCUACGGGCGGCAGUAGUUGGGGCUACUGCACCAUGGGCGCAAGCCUGAUGCAUCUACGCCGCGUUGGGGAUGAAGGCUUUUGGGUUGUAAACCUCUUGCGCUUUCGAAAGGGUAGUUGCAGAAGAAGCGCCGGCUAACUACGUGCCAGCCGCCGCGGUAAUUC
rnacentral:rRNA from 1 species